rnacentral:rRNA from 1 species
AGUGAACGCUGGCGGUAGGCCUAACACAUGCAAGUCGAACGGCAGCACAGUAAGAGCUUGCUCUUACGGGUGGCGAGUGGCGGACGGGUGAGGAAUACAUCGGAAUCUACUUUUUCGUGGGGGGUAACGUAGGGAAACUUACGCUAAUACCGCAUACGACCUACGGGUGAAAGCAGGGGAUCUUCGGACCUUGCGCGGUUGAAUGAGCCGAUGUCGGAUUAGCUAGUUGGCGGGGUAAAGGCCCACCAAGGCGACGAUCCGUAGCUGGUCUGAGAGGAUGAUCAGCCACACUGGAACUGAGACACGGUCCAGACUCCUACGGGAGGCAGCAGUGGGGAAUAUUGGACAAUGGGCGCAAGCCUGAUCCAGCCAUACCGCGUGGGUGAAGAAGGCCUUCGGGUUGUAAAGCCCUUUUGUUGGGAAAGAAAAGCAGCAGGUUAAUACCCCGCUGUUCUGACGGUACCCAAAGAAUAAGCACCGGCUAACUUCGUG